GAUGAACGCUGGCGGCGUGCCUAAUACAUGCAAGUCGAGCGAACAGACGAGGAGCUUGCUCCUCUGACGUUAGCGGCGGACGGGUGAGUAACACGUGGAUAACCUACCUAUAAGACUGGGAUAACUUCGGGAAACCGGAGCUAAUACCGGAUAAUAUAUUGAACCGCAUGGUUCAAUAGUGAAAGACGGUUUUGCUGUCACUUAUAGAUGGAUCCGCGCCGCAUUAGCUAGUUGGUAAGGUAACGGCUUACCAAGGCAACGAUGCGUAGCCGACCUGAGAGGGUGAUCGGCCACACUGGAACUGAGACAAGGUCCAGACUCCUACGGGAGGCAGCAGUAGGGAAUCUUCCGCAAUGGGCGAAAGCCUGGCGGAGCAACGCCGCGUGAGUGAUGAAGGUCUUCGGAUCGUAAAACUCUGUUAUUAGGGAAGAACAAAUGUGUAAGUAACUAUGCACGUCUUGACGGUACCUAAUCAGAAAGCCACGGCUAACUACGUG
rnacentral:rRNA from 1 species